rnacentral:rRNA from 1 species
AGUGAACGCUGGCGGUAGGCCUAACACAUGCAAGUCGAACGGCAGCACAGUAAGAGCUUGCUCUUACGGGUGGCGAGUGGCGGACGGGUGAGGAAUACAUCGGAAUCUACUUUUUCGUGGGGGAUAACUUAGGGAAACUUACGCUAAUACCGCAUACGACCUACGGGUGAAAGCAGGGGAUCUUCGGACCUUGCGCGAUUGAAUUAGCCGAUGUCGGAUUAGCUAGUUGGCGGGGUAAAGGCCCACCAAGGCGACGAUCCGUAGCUGGUCUGAGAGGAUGAUCAGCCACACUGGAAAUGAGACACGGUACAGACUCCUACGGGAGGCAGCAGUGGAGAAUAUUGGACAAUGGGCGCAAGCCUGAUCCAGCCAUACCGCGUGGGUGAAGAAGGCCUUCGGGUUGUAAAGCCCUUUUGUUGGGAAAGAAAAGCAGCAGGUUAAUACCCCGCUGUUCUGACGGUACCCAAAGAAUAAGCACCGGCUAAAUUCGUG